AUAAUGCUACUUCCGUCCAGCCACAGCCCCGCUUGACCGCGGGAUCACUCAAUGGGGGCGGCUCGCAGAGAUCCUGGGGGAGGUGAAAUUCCUAUGG
rfam:Oscillibacter valericigenes Sjm18-20 DNA, complete genome.